rnacentral:tRNA from 1 species
CUCCUAGUAGCUCAAUUGGUUCAGAGCGUUCGACUGUGAAUCGAAAGGUCACCUGCUCGACUCAGGUCUUGGAGA